AGUGUGUGAAUUCAGAGGAAGGAGACCGAAUCCAGCCUGGGCACAGGAGGGAAAGUGUCCUGGAGGCAGCUGGUCCUCAGGUGGCCCUUAAGGAUAAAGAGCAGUUAGCUUGGUGAAGGGCUGACGAAGGCAGUGAGCCUUCCAGGAAGAGGGGAGAAAUCAAGCACAGGCAUGGCCCUGACACACAGGGCUGCACAGAAGGUGGCUCUCACUGGGAACAUGGCCAAGAGUGGACAACACCUGGGGACCCCUGCCGAAUCUGCCGGUGCCUGGAGGGUCACAUCCAGUGCCGCCAGCGAGAAUGUGCCAGCCUGUGUCCAUACCCGGCCCGGCCCCUCCCAGGCACCUGCUGCCCUGUGUGCGAUGGCUGUUUCCUAAACGGGCAGGAGCACCGCAGCGGGGAGCCUGUGGGCUCAGGGGACCCCUGCUUGCACUGCCGCUGUGCUGUGAGUGUGGCUGCCUGGCAGGGAGGGCCUGGCUCCAGAGCCUGCCUCUGGCAUGCUGACCAGGCCCUGUUGGCAGAAUGGGAGUGUCCAGUGUGAGCCUGUGCCCUGCCCACCAGUGCCCUGCAGACACCCAGGCAAGAUCCCUGGGCAGUGCUGCCCUGUCUGCGAUGGCUGUGAGUACCAGGGACACCAGUAUCAGAGCCAGGAGACCUUCAGACUCCAAGAGCGGGGCCUCUGUGUCCGCUGCUCCUGCCAGGUAGGCGGUCCCUCUGCUCACACCCAGAUCUGCCUCAUUCCUUCAGGGUGUCUCACCUGCUUCCCUCCUAGGCUGGCGAGGUCUCCUGUGAGGAGCAGGAGUGCCCAGUCACCCCCUGUGCCCUGCCUGCCUCUGGCCGCCAGCUCUGCCCAGCCUGUGUGCUGGAUGGAGAGGAGUUUGCUGAGGGAGUCCAGUGGGAGCCUGAUGGUCGGCCCUGCACCGCCUGCGUCUGUCAAGAUGGGGUACCCGAGUGCGGAGCUGUGCUCUGCCCCCCAGCCCCCUGCCAGCACCCCACCCAGCCCCCUGGUGAGUGCCUGGGCUGAUCCUGGCUUUCUUCCCCUGCAUUACUCAGCUCACCCUGACCAGCCCGCCCCACCCAGGUGCCUGCUGCCCCAGCUGUGACAGCUGCACCUACCAUGGCCAAGUGUAUGCCAAUAGGCAGAACUUCACGGACGCAGACAGCCCUUGCCAUGCCUGCCACUGUCAGGUAGCUGCCCAGCCUUGCUGCUGCCCUGCUGAGCCCCUCCUGGGCGUGCCCCCAUUGCUCUCUCCCCUGCUCUCUCCCAGGAUGGAACUGUGACAUGCUCCUUGGUUGACUGCCCUCCCACGACCUGUGCCAGGCCCCAGAGUGGACCAGGCCAGUGUUGCCCCAGGUGCCCAGACUGCAUCCUGGAGGAAGAGGUGUUUGUGGACGGCGAGAGCUUCUCCCACCCCCGAGACCCCUGCCAGGAGUGCCGAUGCCAGGAAGGCCAUGCCCACUGCCAGCCUCGCGCCUGCCCCAGGGCCCCCUGUGCCCACCCGCUGCCUGGGAUCUGCUGCCCGAACGACUGCAGCGGCUGUGCCUUUGGAGGGAAAGAGUACCCCAGCGGAGCGGACUUCCCCCACCCCUCUGACCCCUGCCGUCUGUGUCGCUGUCUGAGCGGCAACGUGCAGUGCCUGGCCCACCGCUGCGCGCCGCUGCCCUGUCCAGAGCCUGUCCUGCUGCCGGGAGAGUGCUGCCCGCAGUGCCCGGCCGCCCCAGUCCCCGCCGGCUGCCCACGGCCCGGCGCGUCUCCCGCCCGCCACCAGGAGUACUUCUCCCCGCCCGGCGAUCCCUGCCGCCGCUGCCUCUGCCUCGACGGCUCCGUGUCCUGCCAGCGGCUGCCCUGCCCGCCCGCGCCCUGCGCGCACCCUCGCCAGGGGCCUUGCUGCCCCUCCUGCGACGGCUGCCUGUACCAGGGGAAGGAGUUUGCCAGCGGGGAGCGCUUCCUAUCGCCCACUGCUGCCUGCCACCUCUGCCUUUGCUGGGAGGGCAGCGUGAGCUGCGAGCCCAAGGCAUGUGCCCCUGCAUUGUGCCCCUUCCCUGCCAGGGGCAACUGCUGCCCUAACUGUGAUGGUGAGGGUCACGGGAUAGGGAACUGCGGGGGUGGGAUGGGGGGACCAGAGGGCUGGGUCAGAAUAAUCUUUACUGCCCUAGGGUGGAUCUAAAAUAUUUAUUACAGUAAGAAAAAGUCCCAAGGCUGGGAGCCCUGGCUCGAGCCUGUGACCCCAACAAUUUGGGAGGCUGAGGCAGGAGGAUUGCUUAAGCCCAGGAGUUCAAGACCAGCCUGGGCAACAUAGAGAGAUCUUGUCUCUACACAAAAAAUUUAAAAUCAGCUGGUCGCAGUGGCUCUUGUAGUUCCAUCUACUGGGGAGGCUGAGGUGGGAGGAUUGCCCAGGAGUUUGAGGCUACAGUGAACCGUGUUUUUGCCACUGCACUCCAGGCUGGGUGACAGAGUGAGACCUCGUCUC
rnacentral:sRNA from 1 species